rnacentral:rRNA from 1 species
CGGGACGGGUGAGUAACGCGUGGAGAACCUGCCGUAUACUGGGGGAUAACACUUAGAAAUAGGUGCUAAUACCGCAUAAGCGCACAGCUUCGCAUGAAGCAGUGUGAAAAACUCCGGUGGUAUACGAUGGAUCCGCGUCUGAUUAGCUGUUGGCGGGGUAAAGGCCCACCAAGGCGACGAUCAGUAGCCGGCCUGAGAGGGUGAACGGCCACAUUGGGACUGAGACACGGCCCAAACUCCUACGGAAGGCAGCAG